CUCUGAGGACAGGUUCGUUGAGUUCCAUCGGCUUUGACGUUGGUGGGAAUGCUGGUAUGUUCUGGUGUCUGAUCCUGGGCAGGGCACAAAGAAGACGAAAUUCUCCGUGGACGGAUGGCUUCAGCCAAACCAAGACUUGGAGACCUGAUUGAGAUUUCCCGUGAUGGUUUCCAGCACUGGGCCAUCUAUGUGGGAGAUGGCUACGUGGUCCAUGUGGUUCCUCUG